rnacentral:lncRNA from 1 species
AGUCCCAAUCAGUCGCCACGUGCCACUCUUAUCUUUAUUUAAGGGCUGUAAUUCUUACUUUUAAAAUUUAAAUAUUUAUUUUGAAUUUUAGUAUUAAAAACAUCUGACAAAUCAUUGAAUAUCGGCAAAAUUAACACGUGACAGUGGAUCCAAAGCUCCCUAACGAAAUAUUGCCGAAGAGCUUUCUGUUAAAUAUAAAAAUAUAUAAACACCGUUCUCUAAAAAGUUUAAGGUUUUAGAGUACAACUUUUGCUUCACAUGUACGUCAGACUCCUCACAUUAUUAAUUUUUUCUCAUUUAAUUCAACUUUAUGUCAUGAGCCUUACAAAAAUUUUUUUUUCGAAUCCAGACAUGGGGAAGAGUAUUAAAUAUAAAAAUAUAUAAAUACCGUUCUCACCACGGUUGUUUCACACUUUCCACUAAAGUUUAACUCCGGUGAUACAUUUUUUUUUUUUUUUGAGAGAUAGGUAGCACGUUACCCGCUUCAUUUAUUUCAUUUAGAAAUAAACUUAGCUAGAAAUAUGAAUUAACUAGGAUUCGAACUUGGGAUCUCGGGUACCAACCACCAAACCCUUUGCCACUUACUCUAGAGACGCUUGGUUCCGGUGAUACAUAUUCUCACACG